rnacentral:rRNA from 1 species
UACGUAGGGGGCUAGCGUUGUCCGGAAUCAUUGGGCGUAAAGCGCGCGUAGGCGGUCAGGUAAGUCCGGUGUGAAAGUCAAAGGCUCAACCUUUGAAUGCCGCUGGAAACUGCCUGACUUGAGUCCGGUAGGGGCGAGUGGAAUUCCUGGUGUAGCGGUGAAAUGCGCAGAUAUUAGGAGGAAUACCGGUGGCGAAGGCGGCCUUCUGGGCUGGACCUGACACUGAGACGCGAAAGCGUGGGUAGCAAACAGG